ensembl:lncRNA
UAAACCAGGGGUCUCAAACUCGCGGCCCGCGGGCCAAUUGCGGCCCUCGGGACGAUAUUUUGUGGCCCCAUCCUUAAUAUGAAAGUGUAAUGUUAGUGCGGCCCGCAAGUUUUAUACUGUAACCCCACUGUCAGCUGCUGUGUGGGACAUGUUAUGAUGUUCUGGUUUCCUACUGUGUGCUUGUCCAGUGAACGUGGCAUGCGUGUGACUGACAUGGGGGGCGGGUCGUGUGUGUCGGCCGAGGUGCAGAGAGCAGGAGGGUGAAAUUCAGUUUCCUGCCCUCUUUCGCGCAGGUGAUCAUGUGACUAACCGUUAGCAUCGCUCGUUUAAUAAAGUUUUCCUUUACGACUCACACUAACGACACAUGAAGCAUCUGACGUCACCGACGAGCGUCUCCGUCCAUUACUACGCAGCUUCGAUUCACGUAACUUCACGUUUGGCUAUAAAGGAAUUCCACGGUCACAUGACCUUAGGUCUCCCCCGCUGAGUUAAAGGAGGACUAGUGUUGUAGUCUCAUUCGGACCGAUCCCCCAGGGUGGGGUUCAAUGACUGCUUUUGAAAGUGAGUGUUAAGUUGUGUUAUUGUCGACCAUGCCGUUCGGACGCUAGUCCGGCCCGCGUUCGGUUGAAGUGGGCUGCAUCUGGCCCGCAGCUGAUUUGAGUUUGAGACCCCUGGUUUAGAGGGUACCGGCACUGUAACGUGGUUCAGAGGAGCGCUCACUUUAAUCACCUUUAAACCUCAGACUCCUGUUGUUGCCAUAGAAACUAAUGUGUUGUGUCACAACAAUCAGUGGAUGUAAUCAUAAGACAACAUGUGCGUGUUCAGGUUAAUGAUGUGUGGCUCGCUGGUUCGUUGAAGGUGUGAUAACUGCAGAGCUGUGUGUUUGAUUCCAGGAGCCAAAGAGCGAGAGGAGAUCUACGAGGCGUUUGAAAACAUUUACCCGAUCCUGAGAGGCUUCAGGAAACAGUGACAUCACUUCCUGUUUAUCUGUUGGAUGGUGAACGUUGGUGAGCCGCCAUUGUCAGGUCUCUCAGAGAUGUUCUGAAGCCACUCGUUGACAUUGUGGAACCUUCUCCCGUCUCCCUACUGCGUCUCUGGAGCUCAGCCACAGUGAUCUUUGGGUUCUUCUUCACCGCUCCACCUCACCAAGGCUCUUCUCCCACGAUUGCUCAGUUUGACUGGACGUCUCAGGUCUAGGAAGAGUUCUUCUUCCAUUAAAGGGUCAUGGAGGCCACUGUUCUGAGGAACCUUGAGUGCUGCAGAAAUUCUUUUGUUACCUUGGGCAGAUCUGUGCUGUGCCACGAUUCUGUCUGAGCUCCUUGGACAGUUCCUUCCAUCAGAAGUUCUCAGUUAGAGUCUGACAGACGUCUCUCAGUGGAUCCGCCCACCAUCUGAAAAUCAACCCCGACAAACUGAACUACUUCUCUUUCUGGGGAAAGAUUCUCCUUCACAGGACCUGACUGUUAACUUUGGCGACUCUGUCUUAACGUCCACUUUGACUGCAGGAACCUCGGCGUGACGUCGACAGCCGACUCUCCCUGACUCCAACAUCACUGACAACACCAUCCUGUAGAUACUCGCUCUACAACAUCAGGAGAACACGUCCUCUUCUCACUCAGAAGGUACUGAUUCAGGCUCUUAUCGUCUCCCUCCUGGACUACUGUAACUGUCUCCUGCAGGUCUCCUGCUACCACCAUUCAGCCUCUGCAGCUCAUCCAGAAUGCAGCAGCUCCACUGGUCUUUAACCUUCCUAAGUUCUCCCUCACUCCUCCACUCCUCCGCUCUCUCCACUGGUACCGGUGGCUCAUCCAGUUCUAAACAUGGUGCUCACGUACCAGGCUGUGAAUGGAUGGGGUCCAGCUUACAUCCAGGACCUGGUCCAACCCGACAUCCCGACCCGCACUCUCCGCUCUGCAUGUGAUAAAGUGCUUGUUCCUCCUCACUGAGAGCAAAACACUCGACUAGAUCUCCACUCUUUGCUGUCCUGCUCCUAAAUGGUGGAAGGAGGUCUCUGAAGACAUCAGGACCACAGAGAGCCUUCACAUCUUCAGACUAAAGACACACCUCUUCAGACUCUACCUCCACUAACACACUAUCUAACUGUAGCACUUACAUUGGACUUAUAAUGGUUCUUAUCUACAGCAAGUUGGACAUCGGCUUGUUUGAGGAAAUCACACUUUCUUGUUCUUCUGAGUUUGUGUCCUUGUGGUUGAUGCACUUAUGGAGUCGCUUUGGAUAAAAGCGUCAGAUAACUGGCAUGUUAUGUAAUGUAGACU